GCGGGUCGGGUUAAAAUCCCGGUUAAGGGAAAAACGGCGCCGUUUUGGGGCUUAAGGACGUCGACUAAAACGACGUCGUUUUGUUUGGGCUAUUUAAGCCAAAAAAAUUUCAAAAACAUUCAUUUCUCUCCUCUAAAAAAAAUAUCUGAAACUCUCUCAAGAAAAAAAAAAAAACCCCCUCCCUCAAGAGAUCCGACCAGGGGUCUGGCUGUUGGCCACCACACCGGUCGCCGGCGCCGGCGUCUCCGCAUACGGCGGCCGGAAGUUCGAAAAAAGGUGCAAGUGGCGCAAGUGGCGUGGGAGCGGCGGAGCAGUUGGUGGCAGAGCUAGGGCGGCGGCAGUUGGGUCAGAAUACCCUAGGUGCGGCGCACCUAGGGUUAGGUUUUGUUUCUUUCUUUCUUUCUUUUGUUUGUAUUGGGCUGCUAGAAAUGGGUUUGGGGUAAUUGGGUUAGUUGGGCCCUGAGGAUUUUAGGCUUGUUCUGGAUUGGAUUUAUUUGGGCCUGGUUUUAAUUUGAUUUGGUUUUGGUUAUUUGGACCAUAAAUGGGCUUGUACACCAAGUUCAAUUCAUUUAAAAUUAAAGACGCUUGUUUUCAUUA